rnacentral:tRNA from 1 species
CAAUAAAUAGUUUAUUAAAAUAAUAAUUUUGGAGAUUAUUGAUAUAGAGGUUUAAAUUUUCUAUUUUAUUGA